CUUCCCCUUCUGGAACUUUCCAUUGUGGGUAAGAUUCCAACACUCCUGCUACCUCCUUCCUGAGACACAGGGAGUAAAGAAGGUCGUGCUGGGGAAGGUCUCCCUGAGCCGGCAAUUGUCGUCACUCCAGCCUCGGGACGCCUUCCCUGACUGCUGAGUCAGGUAGGAGCUGCUGACUGCUCCCUCGGCACGCAUCCUUAACUCUAUCCAAGCACUGGGUCGAACAAGUUAUCACUACUGUUCUGCGAUGGUUCCAAAUGGGAAGACCCAUGUCCUUCUCAUCUCCUGAACCAGCUGGUCCCCUGCCACGGUGACAAAAGCAGGAAGUCCUGGCCAAAUGUGGCCCCUGGCCUUGUCCCCCAGUCUCCAGAACUGUGAGCAAAGGAACUGUUGUUUGUACAGACUGUGGCAUUCUGUUACAGCCUCAGAAAGUGGACUAAGGUCGGAUGGAGGAGGAUGCCGGAUCCCUUGGAACUGGAGUUAUAGGCAGUUGUGAACUUCCUGAUGUGAAUGUUGGAAAGAGAAUUCCAGUCCUCUGGAAGGGCAGUGUGUGCUCUUACACACUGAGCCAUUUCUCUGGCCCUUCAUACCACCUUUUAACACAAUCUGCCAUCUGUGGUGGAACCAAUA